CGGCGGACGGGUGAGUAAUGCCUAGGAAUCUGCCUGGUAGUGGGGGAUAACGUCCGGAAACGGACGCUAAUACCGCAUACGUCCUACGGGAGAAAGCAGGGGACCUUCGGGCCUUGCGCUAUCAAUGAGCCUAGGUCGGAUUAGCUAGUUGGUGGGGUAAUGGCUCACCAAGGCGACGAUCCGUAACCAGUCUCGAGAGGAUGAUCAGUCACACUGGAACUGAGACACGGUCCAGACUCAGACAGGAGGCAGCAGUGGGGAAUAUUGGACUAUGGGCGAAAGCCUGGAUCCAGCCAUGCCGCUU
rnacentral:rRNA from 1 species